GUGCUUGCUUUGGCAGCACAUAUAUUAAAAUUGGAAAAAUACAGGGAGGACUAGCGUGGCCCCUGCGUAAGGAUGAUACGCAAAUUCAUGAGGCAUUCCGUAUUUUU